rnacentral:lncRNA from 1 species
CCCGCCCUCCCGGCCUAGGCGUUCUGGAGGACGGGAAGUCUAAGAUGAAGACACCAACAGCUUCAGUGUCUGAUAAGGGCUCGCUUCCUGGUUCACAGAUGGUCAUCUUUUUGCUGCAUCCUCACGUGGCAGAAGGAUGAGCAGAAGGAUCUCAGAAGUUACAUUUUUAAAAUGACAGAUGGGAACAACCAUUACAACUCCUUAGUCUAUGAAUUACUCCUUGGAGAGGCAACUCCCGUCAACCAGGAACAACCAUUUAGCACUCUACAUGAGCAAGAAAUAAACUUCCAUCAUGAUCG